rnacentral:sRNA from 1 species
AAUGCCUCACGCCUGCGGCUUCAGGGACUUCUUGCUGCUGCCAGUAGCGUGCCGGCAAGGGAGGAUUCUAACCGUCCAUUGUGAGAAAAUAUCGGGAUCGUCAGUACUGCCACUCAUGAACUCGGGAAGUUAAGAAGCUUUCAAGGUCCUACGAGGAUCUCUACAGGGAUCUACUAUGUAUCCAUCGAAAAACAAAAAACAUUCGCAAUACCAUCUUCGUAAUGUCGGAGUACAGAUACAGUACAGAGCAUUGUAUUCACCAUCAGAGCUUCUGUGAUCGCACCAAAAAAAAAAAAAAAAAAAAAAAAAAAAAAAAAAAAAUGAAGCUAGAUAGAUAAGGAAUUUCAGAAAUAGUUAUAGGAUUUUACUAGAUACUUGAAGCGUACCUAUGUAACUAGAUGUAAUGAUGUUGAAGAUAGUGAUAUCAUUUUUGUAUGGAGAG